GGUUGAAGUUCAGGUAACACUGAAUGGAGGACCGAACCGACUUACGUUGAAAAGUGAGCGGAUGAACUGAGGGUAGCGGAGAAAUUCCAAUCGAACCUGGAGAUAGCUGGUUCUCUCCGAAAUAGCUUUAGGGCUAGCCUCAAGUGAUGAUUAUUGGAGGUAGAGCACUGUUUGGACGAGGGGCCCCUCUCGGGUUACCGAAUUCAGACAAACUCCGAAUGCCAAUUAAUUUAACUUGGGAGUCAGAACAUGGGUGAUAAGGUCCGUGUUCGAAAGGGAAACAGCCCAGACCACCAGCUAAGGUCCCAAAAUAUAUGUUAAGUGGAAAAGGAUGUGGCGUUGCCCAGACAACUAGGAUGUUGGCUUAGAAGCAGCCAUCAUUUAAAGAGUGCGUAAUAGCUCACUAGUCGAGUGACACUGCGCCGAAAAUGUACCGGGGCUAAACAUAUUACCGAAGCUGUGGAUUGUCCUUUGGACAAUGGUAGGAGAGCGUUCUAAGGGCGUUGAAGCAUGAUCGUAAGGACAUGUGGAGCGCUUAGAAGUGAGAAUGCCGGUGUGAGUAGCGAAAGACGGGUGAGAAUCCCGUCCACCGAUUGACUAAGGUUUCCAGAGGAAGGCUCGUCCGCUCUGGGUUAGUCGGGUCCUAAGCUGAGGCCGACAGGCGUAGGCGAUGGAUAACAGGUUGAUAUUCCUGUACCACCUAUAAUCGUUUUAAUCGAUGGGGGGACGCAGUAGGAUAGGCGAAGCGUGCGAUUGGAUUGCACGUCUAAGCAGUAAGGCUGAGUAUUAGGCAAAUCCGGUACUCGUUAAGGC
rnacentral:rRNA from 1 species